rnacentral:lncRNA from 1 species
CGUGUCCUAUUUCUCCCAUCUUGUUGGGAUCUCUAGGGAAAACCACGUCUCUUCGGAUCGGAGACAAUAGUAUCUCAACGUCAUAUCUCUUUGAAGGCGUUCCUUUGUUUUUUUUUACUCGAAAAUUUGGUGGACGUGGAUCGCAGAGGUUCCAUUCGAGUCAACAUUCUCGAACACUGUUUGCGGAUCGUCGAGGUCCUAUUCGACACCUUUUGAUAGGGGGUGAAUCAUAGUGGGCUCUCUUUUGUUCUGAGUUUUUCACUCCUACAAGACCGUGCGGUGUUCUAGAACAGGAAGGGGGGGUGUGGGCCGGGAUUGUGACGGUUCGAC